CAAAUACUCCCUCCGCCCCGAAUUACUUGUCGCAGAAAUGGAUGUAUCUAGAAUGCGACAAGUAAUUCGGGGCGGAGGGAGUAGCAG
rnacentral:pre_miRNA from 1 species